rnacentral:rRNA from 1 species
AGUGAACGCUGGCGGUAGGCCUAACACAUGCAAGUCGAACGGCAGCACAGUAAGAGCUUGCUCUUACGGGUGGCGAGUGGCGGACGGGUGAGGAAUACAUCGGAAUCUACUUUUUCGUGGGGGAUAACGUAGGGAGACUUACGCUAAUACCGCAUACGACCUACGGGUGAAAGCAGGGGAUCUUCGGACCUUGCGCGAUUGAAUGAGCCGAUGUCGGAUUAGCUAGUUGGCGGGGUAAAGGCCCACCAAGGCGACGAUCCGUAGCUGGUCUGAGAGGAUGAUCAGCCACACUGGAACUGAGGCACGGUCCAGACUCCUACGGGAGGCAGCAGUGGGGAAUAUUGGACAAUGGGCGCAAGCCUGAUCCAGCCAUACCGCGUGGGUGAAGAAGGCCUUCGGGUUGUAAAGCCCUUUUGUUGGGAAAGAAAAGCAGCAGGUUAAUACCCCGCUGUUCUGACGGUACCCAAAGAAUAAGCACCGGCUAACUUCGUG